UACGGAACAACUCCGGGAAACUGGAGCUAAUACCGUAUGUGCCCGAAAGGGGAAAGAUUCAUCGCCUUCAGAUGGGCCCGCGUCAGAUUAGCUAGUUGGUGGGGUAACGGCCCACCAAGGCGACGAUCUGUAGCUGGUCUGAGAGGAUGAUCAGCCACACUGGGACUGAGACACGGCCCAGACUCCUACGGGAGGCAGCAGUGGGGAAUAUUGGACAAUGGGCGCAAGCCUGAUCCAGCCAUGCCGCGUGAGUGAUGACGGCCUUAGGGUUGUAAAGCUCUUUCGACGGGGACGAUAAUGACGGUACCCGUAGAAGAAGCCCCGGCUAACUUCGUGCCAGCAGCCGCGGUAAUACGAAGGGGGCUAGCGUUGUUCGGAAUCACUGGGCGUAAAGCGCACGUAGGCGGAUUGUUAAGUCGGGGGUGAAAUCCUGAG
rnacentral:rRNA from 1 species